ACUCCUAGCCUGACUAUUGGACUAAUCUAUUCAAUUAUAGAAGAAAUACUGUUAAUAUGAGUAACAAGAAAAAUUUUCUCCUCGCACAAGCUUAUAUCAGUAACUGAUAAUACACUGAUAGUUAACAGCUAAUAAAUAUAACCCAACACUAAACUAUUUAUUAACCGUACUGUUAAUCCAACACAGGCGUGCACUAAGGAAAGAUUAAAAAGAGUAAAAGGAACUCGGCAAACACAAACCUCGCCUGUUUACCAAAAACAUCACCUCUAGCAUAACUAGUAUUAGAGGCACUGCCUGCCCAGUGACAAUCGUUAAACGGCCGCGGUAUCUUGACCGUGCAAAGGUAGCAUAAUCACUUGUUCUCUAAAUAAGGACUUGUAUGAAUGGCCACACGAAGGUUUUACUGUCUCUUACUCUUAAUCAGUGAAAUUGACCUCCCCGUGAAGAGGCGGGGAUAACACAAUAAGACGAGAAGACCCUAUGGAGCUUUAAUUAAUCAACUCAAAAAGCAUAAAACAAUACCACCAAGGGAUAACAAAGCCUUAUAUGAGUUGACAAUUUCGGUUGGGGUGACCUCGGAGUAUAAAAAACCCUCCGAGUGAUUAAAACUUAGGCCUACCAGCCAAAGUAUAGUAUCACUUAUUGAUCCAAAAUUUUGAUCAACGGAACAAGUUACCCUAGGGAUAACAGCGCAAUCCUAUUCUAGAGUCCAUAUAGACAAUAGGGUUUACGACCUCGAUGUUGGAUCAGGACAUCCUGAUGGUGCAGCAGCU
rnacentral:rRNA from 1 species